rnacentral:rRNA from 1 species
GAUGAACGCUGGCGGCGUGCCUAAUACAUGCAAGUCGAGCGAACAGAUGAGGAGCUUGCUCCUCUGACGUUAGCGGCGGGCGGGUGAGUAACACGUGGAUAACCUACCUAUAAGACUGGGAUAACUUCGGGAAACCGGAGCUAAUACCGGAUAAUAUAUUGAACCGCAUGGUUCAAUAGUGAAAGACGGUUUUGCUGUCACUUAUAGAUGGAUCCGCGCCGCAUUAGCUAGUUGGUAAGGUAACGGCUUACCAAGGCAACGAUGCGUAGCCGACCUGAGAGGGUGAUCGGCCACACUGGAACUGAGACACGGUCCAGACUCCUACGGGAGGCAGCAGUAGGGAAUCUUCCGCAAUGGGCGAAAGCCUGACGGAGCAACGCCGCGUGAGUGAUGAAGGUCUUCGGAUCGUAAAACUCUGUUAUUAGGGAAGAACAAAUGUGUAAGUAACUAUGCACGUCUUGACGGUACCUAAUCAGAAAGCCACGGCUAACUACGUC